CCCCAAUUGAAGCAAAUUUAGUUCAAUCUUAAAAGCCUCAGUGCACAGUUGAAGUUUAUUUUUCUUCGCUCAUUUGAAAACAAAAGAAAAACAGACAUGAAGCUUAUAUACUUAUUAAUAUCAUGUAUUUGUCUCGUAACGGCAGCAGAAAGAAUGAUGCUAAAUAACAUUACAAUUGCUUCUAAUGCUGCUUUUAUAUCUAGACGAAGUAUCAGUUGUCAAAGAGUUAAUCAUCGUGGCCAAUGUAUUGGUGGAAGCUCUAAAUAAAACGAAUCUAAAAAAUUUAUAAGAAAAUUAAAACUUCAUAUGAUGACGUCAUUAUAAUCGAUAAUCAGUUGAUCUCAAAUAAACAAUACGUUCUAACCUUAACCUUUAAUUAAUUUACAUGAUAUUUUAUUGGCAAACACUGGAACUGAAUAUGGUACUGGACGAAAAAUUAGCGGCAUUUCAAAAAGAGAAACGAAAAAUUGAAAUCGACAUCAGCUUCCGGUCAACAGCUUUUUAAGCACUUUCUCAACAAUUUCAUUAUCAGCUCCUCAAAGACGAAUUCAAUUCAUUUCUAUCUGUUAAAAAUCAGGACGGAAAAUGGUAUCCACAUGUGUCAUGUAGCGCUUGGAUGACCAAAAUGUAAAAAUUAUGAUCAUCGUGGAAAAUGUAUUGAUUUAAGCUCGAAAUAAAACGUAUACACAAAAACUGUGUAGGAAGAUUAAAAUUAACACACAUCAUUAUAAUCAAUAAUCACUUCGUUGGAAUUUAGAACUACGAAUAAAAAUGAUAUAAUAUAUGCACAUAAAUAUUAAAUUACAAUAGUUAUUAGACGUUUUGAAAUGAGGAAAGAAUAAAUGUAUACCUUAAUAAAAUUUAGUUAUUCUAUAGUGUUCACAUGAGUUAUGAGCGUUCUGCAACGUCAUGUCACAACACCUCAUCACAAAACAGUUGACAACACACACCACUANACACACACACAUCAAACACAGUACCAAACACCGCUCAUCAUUACUAAUAAUUGGAAAUAUUCACCACCCAAACUAUUAAAAGGGAUAGAUCCGAACGGGAUCUUCCUCUUAUCGUUUUCAUCCCGGAAGCAAGACGUUCGACCGCUAAUAUUCAUUUUCACUUGUUCUACCGCAACAACCACGACACUUACUUUUUUUAUAAACCGCCAAGUGACGGAGUGGAUUUCGCCGCAGUGCCUCGCAGUGUGUGGAAACCAAUACUGAAAAUAAAAUUGUUUUAUAGUAAUCAGAUAAAAUUAUACAGUUGUUCUAAUAAGCUUAAUAAUUAUUUUAUAAAGAGUGUGUGUUAGAGAGAUCAGUGCUUUUUACUUGGCUUAUCGAGAUCGUGUAAGUAUACUAGUGGCACGGUUGAAAUAUAGUUAUAUUAUUUAAAUCUUUAUUCAAACAAUACGUUUUAAACUUAUUCUUUAAUUAUAAAAUAACAUCGCCGUCUAAACGAUGUUUUUAUGGCCAAAACAGCAGGCUUUCUACAUGGUACUGGACGAAAAAUCAUCGAUAUUUCAAGAGAAAGGAUAUCUCUACUUAUGCAAUUCCUGAAAAAGGGAUGCUAAAACAUGUAUGUAAUUAUAUGAAUAUUAUGGCUAAACCUCGUUUAAUGGCCAUGCAUGACAAAAAUUCUCAUCUAACUCAGAAACACUUGAGAAACACACACUAUUAUAUAAAAAUACUAUGCUGUAGUGUAUAAGUUAAAUCAAUUAAAUAUAGAAUGAAAUGAAAAUACA
rnacentral:misc_RNA from 1 species